rnacentral:rRNA from 1 species
UACGUAGGGGGCGAGCGUUGUCCGGAUUCAUUGGGCGUAAAGCGCGCGUAGGCGGCUUCGCAAGUCGGCCGUGAAAUCUCCGGGCUCAACUCGGAGGGGUCGGGCGAGACUGCGCGGCUCGAGGUGGGCAGAGGGCAGUGGAAUUCCGGGUGUAGUGGUGGAAUGCGUAGAGAUCCGGAGGAACACCAGUGGCGAAGGCGGCAUCCUGGACCGGCAUUGACGCUGAGGAGCGAAAGCCAGGGGAGCAAACGGG